rnacentral:rRNA from 1 species
GUAGUAACUUAACUAGAAAAUUCUACUCCACUAAGCAUUAACCUAACACAAGAGUAUUUAAGGAAAGAUUAAACCAGGGAGAAGGAACUCGGCAAAUCUUAGUCUCGCCUGUUUACCAAAAACAUCGCCUCUUGACCACUAUAAGAGGUCCAGCCUGCCCAGUGACCAGUUUAACGGCCGCGGUACCCUAACCGUGCGAAGGUAGCAUAAUCACUUGUUUCUUAAAUAGAGACUAGUAUCAACGGCACCACGAAGACUAUACUGUCUCCUCCCUAAAAUCAAUGAAACUGAUCUCCUCGUGAAGAAGCGAGGAUAUACAUAUAAGACGAGAAGACCCCAUGGAGCUUUAAACGAACUUCAAUUGUUCCUACCCAUAACAUACAAAUUGAACACUCCCUGGUAGAUAGUUUUAGGUUGGGGUGACCGCGGAGUAAAACAAAACCUCCACAAUGAAUGUAAUAAAAUUCUUAUAAAAGAACUACAGUUCUAAUAAUCAAAAAUUUGACAUAGUUGACCCAAACACUUGAUCAAUGAACCAAGUUACCCUGGGGAUAACAGCGCAAUCCAUUUUAAGAGCCCAUAUCGACAAAUGGGUUUACGACCUCGAUGUUG